UGAACCACAACGUCAUGCACUUGUGGCAAAUGUCUGCAGCUGAAAACUGUUGCUGUUUAAUGUGCCAGCGUAGUGUUAGCAGCGACACAAAUAGUUACCCCGAAGCCAGCGUAAGCAAGGUGCAGCACAGAAUUCAACGCGCGUCAAGGACUCCAGCGCAGACUGUGCCAGUCCAGGCACUACGACUGCCCUCACCUCGAUGCCGCUUUCAUUCCUUCAUGAUGACUGAUGAUAUAUGUCAAGCACCGGAGAUCAAGGCUCGUACGGAAUUUGGAGAGCGCGGACUAACCGGACAAACUGGACCCAACGUAGAAAGCGCAGCCGCUAAUGAGCCAUGCGAGCUUGUACAGUGCAUCAAUGGAAAUUUCACCGUACAAACGUUCUACACUGCCGCAGCGAAGCAAAAAGCGAGAAAUAUACUCAUCAGAGACCGCAGGCAUCAUCAGACUACUCAGAGAUGAUGCACAAAGGUAUCGCAAGUCAGCGAAGUUAAACCGCGCCGAAAGAUUACCACGAGGGAAGCACUGGAUAAGUUGACGUAUCAUGUGAUACCGGAAUUCUAAAAACUCUUGCAGUGCCAGGUGACGCUCCAUUAUCGCAAGAGGAAGGAAAGGACACGA